rnacentral:misc_RNA from 1 species
GGCUUGUGGGGGUAUGGGGGACCCCUGCGGGGGCAGGGAAAACAUCCUUUUCAMGCCUGUUCAUGGGAUGAUCGAAUCUCGCAUUUCGUCAUCUCCCUUUCGGUUCCCUGUGUUGCAUACCUUCGCGACGGUAUCCUGKYGGCUAGAAUCRCCCCGUUUCACCCCACGUUGCGAGUAACAUCGCGACCGAAGGGGAACCGAAAAGCAUUCAUCGCGUUCCACCCCGUUCGCAUUACACGCUGCGGGGACCGGCCCACGAUGACGUGCUCGAAUUCUCGGAUGCGGAACACAAAGUGGGCACGAGGACGUCGAUCCUCCGUUUGCCCCCGAACAAGCGUUCUACGCUCUGUGCGAACGACGUUCUUUCUCGUGCUGGGCUUCCGUCCACACGAGGUCGACGUCGCAGAGGAAUGCUACCUGGUGAUCCAGCCAGUAAUCAUUU